rnacentral:rRNA from 1 species
GAUGAACGCUGGCGGCGUGCCUAAUACAUGCAAGUCGAGCGAACAGACGAGGAGCUUGCUCCUCUGACGUUAGCGGCGGACGGGUGAGUAACACGUGGAUAACCUACCUAUAAGACUGGGAUAACUUCGGGAAACCGGAGCUAAUACCGGAUAAUAUAUUGAACCGCAUGGUUCAAUAGUGAAAGACGGUUUUGCUGUCACUUAUAAAUGGAUCCGCGUCGAAUUAGCUAGUUGGUAAGGUAACGGCUUACCAAGGCAACGAUGCGUAGCCGACCUGAGAGGGUGAUCGGCCACACUGGAACUGAGACACGGUCCAGACUCCUACGGGAGGCAGCAGUAGGGAAUCUUCCGCAAUGGGCGAAAGCCUGACGGAGCAACGCCGCGUGAGUGAUGAAGGUCUUCGGAUCGUAAAACUCUGUUAUUAGGGAAGAACAAAUGUGUAAGUAACUAUGCACGUCUUGACGGUACCUAAUCAGAAAGCCACGGCUAACUACGUG